rnacentral:rRNA from 1 species
UACGUAGGGUGCAAGCGUUGUCCGGAAUUAUUGGGCGUAAAGGGCUCGUAGGCGGUCUGUCGCGUCAGGAGUGAAAACUCGGGGCUUAACCCCGAGCCUGCUUCUGAUACGGGCAGACUAGAGGUAUGCAGGGGAGAACGGAAUUCCACGUGUAGCGGUGAAAUGCGUAGAGAUGUGGAGGAACACCAAUGGCGAAGGCAGCCUUCUGGGCCAACACUGACGCUCAUGCACGAAAGCGUGGGGAGCAAACAGG